AGUUUGAUCAUGGCUCAGAUUGAACGCUGGCGGCAUGCCUUACACAUGCAAGUCGAACGGUAACAGGUCUUCGGAUGCUGACGAGUGGCGAACGGGUGAGUAAUACAUCGGAACGUGCCUAGUAGCGGGGGAUAACUAAUCGAAAGGUUGGCUAAUACCGCAUACGCCCCACGGGGGAAAGCUAGGGACCUUCGGGCCUGGCGUUAAUGGAGCGGCCGAUAUCUGAUUAGCUAGUUGGUGAGGUAAAGGCUCACCAAGGCGACGAUCAGUAGCUGGUCUGAGAGGACGACCAGCCACACUGGAACUGAGACACGGUCCAGACUCCUACGGGAGGCAGCAGUGGGGAAUUUUGGACAAUGGGCGCAAGCCUGAUCCAGCCAUUCCGCGUGAGUGAAGAAGGCCUUCGGGUUGUAAAGCUCUUUCGCAAGGGAAGAAAACUUAUCCUCUAACAUAGGAUGAGGUUGACGGUACCUUGAUAAGAAGCACCGGCUAACUACGUGCCAGCAGCCGCGGUAAUACGUAGGGUGCGAGCGUUAAUCGGAAUUACUGGGCGUAAAGCGUGCGCAGGCGGCCUUGAAAGUCAGAUGUGAAAUCCCCGAGCUCAACUUGGGAACUGCGUUUGAAACUCCAAGGCUAGAAUAUGUCAGAGGGGGGUAGAAUUCCACGUGUAGCAGUGAAAUGCGUAGAGAUGUGGAGGAAUACCAAUGGCGAAAGCAGCCCCCUGGGAUAAUAUUGACGCUCAUGCACGAAAGCGUGGGGAGCAAACAGGAUUAGAUACCCUGGUAGUCCACGCCCUAAACGAUGUCAACUGGGUUGUUGGGUCUUCACUGACUCAGUAACGAAGCUAACGCGUGAAGUUGACC
rnacentral:rRNA from 1 species